rnacentral:sRNA from 1 species
GGGAUGAGUGUGUCAGGAUGACAUACGA